GGGGGGUGUGUGCCGGUGACGCUGAGGAAAGGCCGGAGCGCGCUUCCCGGUCGGCUCCAUGGUGGCUCCUGGGCAGAAAUCCAUGGCGCUCCUGGGCAGAAAGGAGAUAGGGAGGUGAGGGAGAAAGAAGGGACAGUGAUGAGCUCCACACAGAAAAGAAUCUCAUACUGCAAAGAUUGAUGGUCAGAUCAAGUGUAUUAAUGAAAUGUGCAACAUGAUGUCUCUUGAUCUUAAGAAGACAUUAUAUGAAGUUCAUCCCAGCUUUGUUGAAUUGGAAAGAAUCAAAUCCAUGAGUAUAAGUGAUAGCACACUUGAUAGGCUUGCAGGAAAAGUUCAUGCACUAAAUCAAGAAAAGAAACAGAGGCUCCGGAAGCUACAAGAUCAUGGAAGCACACUCAUUGAGUUAUGGAGUCUAAUAGACACACCAUUAGAUGAACAGAAAUGCUUUGAUCAUGUUACUUCUUUGAUUUCAGUCUCACAAAAUACAGCGAUGCCCCAAGGAUGCCUUGCACAUGACCUUAUUAAGAAGGUUAGAGUUGAUUCUUGAUUGUCUAUUUAUUUACUUAUUUUCUUUCUAUUUUCAUCAAGCUAAUUUCUUUAAAUUAUAGUAAAUGUCAUGUGAAAUUCCUUUCCCCCGUUGUUUGGGUAGAGGUUGAGGUCAAGAGACUGAAGCAUUUGAAAGCUCACAAAAUGGAAGAGCUUGUCUUAAAGAAUAUGACUGAGCUUGAAGAAAUCUACAAAAGUGUUCACAUGUAUAUUGACAGCAAUCAUGAGUGGCAGAUUCUCACUGAACUUAUUGAUUCUGGUUCACUUCUUUCCCAUGCUUUUCAUCCUGAAGAUACAUAACUGAAGUUAUUAUAUACAGUUUUGUUUCCAUUAAGAACUACCCGAUGCAUGAUUUAACUGGUGCUCCUUACUUAUAUAAGGUUGCUGUUUCUGUCUCAUCUUAAAAUUCUGUGAAUUUCUUAGUCAAAUGCAAUGGUAGGUUCUGCAACUGUCUUUCAACUUUGUGCCUUCUAAGUAUCAGCUUGAAUAUUUAGGCAGAUCAAUUUGGAUACAAAAAUUGAAUAAGCUCUUAUGAAAACUAAAAGGGAAAAAAUAUUGCAACUUUGCAAGUCAUUGCGUCUCUCCUUCAGAGGACGAUUGCGCAUUCAUGCUCUAGGAUUUUUUUUUACUGAGCUCAAGGUUGUGAACUAUAUAUUUCCAUUUCUUUGGUAGUGAUAUUUAGUUAAAUUGGAGGUCCUAGCUAUAGAACAUCAACAGUGUAAAUUAUAUGCAUUGCUAGAGGGGGAGGGGGGAUUUGGAUACAAAAAUUGAAUAAAAGCUCUUAUGAAAAAUAAAAGGGAAAAAAUAUUGCAAGUCAUUGCGUCUCUCCUUCAGAGGACAAUUGCGCAUUCAUGCUCUAGGAUUUUUAUUACUGAGCUCAAGGUUGUGAAAUAUUUAUUUCCAUUUAUUUGGUAGUGAUAUUUGGUUAAACUGGAGAUCCUAGCUAUAGAACAUCAACAGUGUAAAGUAUAUGCAUUGCUGCUCAGAGGUUCUGUAGAUCCAUCUUUGCUGAUUUUUCAUCUUUAUCAUGUAUGCUUCAAUUCUUGCAUGCCAAAUAAACAUAAGUUCAUGUUUUAUUGUUUAGUUGUCUCAUGUUCGCUCUUCAUUAUUCUAUAUCAAAGUGAUGUCGUUCAAUGCGUUUGUCCCUUUCUGAUGUAGAAAUUGAUUUCCAUGAGGCAUGAACUCAAGGUGCAACAAUAUCAUUCUUCCUGGUGUUGCAUUAAAUAUACCUCUUAUUUGUUAAAAAAAUCCUCUGGAUUUGGGAUUAGUAUAUUAGGUAGACAUCUUUUGGUUAACGGCAGAUUUGAGCGCAGGGUAGAAUUCUUGGUUGAUUCUAGAAUUUCUUUGUAGAUUAGCUGGCAGAUUAGAACAUCUUUGGCAAGUUCUUUGUUGGUUAGGUCCAGCUCCCUUGGCACUGGACCCAGCAGACGUGUGUGCGUGUGCGGAUCUCCCAUGCAUCCACUGCACCACUUGUUGUUGGGUGGCAGUGGGGUAUCCAAGCGUGUGGAAGGCCUAUCCGCCAUGGCGGCGCAGCUCGGCUCCAAGGAGAACAGUUCCAAGGCCCAACUAACAGGCUACCACAAUUCCUAGCCCAAUCGCGGACUGUAAUUAAAUUGCUUUAUUGAUCAAUCUAUUAGUUAAUCAUAGGCUACAAUUAACCAGUGUAGUUUGGGUGUGCAGCACCAGAGACCAUUUGAUUGAAUUGGUGGUACAGUAAUACUAGCCUAAUACAAUUAUCAUAUC